rnacentral:rRNA from 1 species
UACGUAGGGGGCAAGCGUUGUCCGGAUUUAUUGGGCGUAAAGAGCGUGUAGGCGGCUAGAUAGGUCCGUUGUGAAAACUCGAGGCUCAACCUCGAGACGUCGAUGGAAACCAUCUGGCUAGAGUCCGGAAGAGGAGAGCGGAAUUCCUGGUGUAGCGGUGAAUGACGCAGAUAUCAGGAAGAACACCCGUGGCGAAGGCGGCUCUCUGGGACGGUACUGACGCUGAGACGCGAAAGCGUGGGGAGCGAACAGG